rnacentral:rRNA from 1 species
GUUAAGUCAGAUGUGAAAGCCCAGGGCUCAACCUUGGAACUGCAUUUGAUACUGGCAAACUUGAGUACGGUAGAGGAAUGGGGAAUUUCUGGUGUAGCGGUGAAAUGCGUAGAGAUCAGAAGGAACACCAUUGGCGAAGGCAACAUUCUGGACCGAUACUGACACUGAGGGACGAAAGCGUGGGGAUCUAACAGGAUUAGAUACCCUGGUAGUCCACGCUGUAAACGAUGAGUACUAGCUGUUGGAGUCGG